CAGUCCGCCUGAAUCCACGCAGUAAAAGUCCCUCCCGAUUCUGACCAUGAAGAUGUUUUGUGUGUUCCUGCUACUAGUCGUGGUAAUUCUGUUGCCAGCGGCGAAUGCUACUUGCAACCGCCCAGAUAUCUUCACGGCGACACGGCAACAGAAAUGUGAGGAUUAUUGUGAAUCUGAAGGUUCCGAUAAUAUGGACGCGGCACAAUAUUGUUACCAAAUUAAAUGCCUUGGUCGUCUAGCUUGCUGCCUUGGCUUUGGGACGGACCCAUUCAAUUACUACACUCAGAAUGAAUGCUGUACAUGGAUAGAUGAACUCGAUGAUUAUGUAUCUGUAAUCUGAAACAUUUC